CACGGUAUUACAUAUGUCGGAACUUCCGACACUGUGUUGGAACUUCGAUAGGGUCGGAACUUUCAAUAAGGGGCUGAACAUCCUAAGGUAAGCAGAAUAUAUUUGAAUCAAAAGUUCAACAAUAAAGUAUGGAGACUACUGUAGAUGAUCUCUACAAGAGAAAGUACAGAGGCUACUCAAAGAUGGGGUCACACACCUCAAAUCUUGCUCUCACCCAAGCCCUAGCUUAAAUCUCUCAAGGAUUAGCUCAAGGAGAGGGAGUGGAGAGCAGUAUUGAAUGCUCUUGGAGGUGUUUGGCAUGAGGUAGGUCAGUAGCCAAUGAAGAAGGGGGUGAGGGGGUAUAAAUACCCGACCCCCACAAACUAGCCGUUACUGUGCUAGUCAUGUGCCUGUCGGAACUUCCAACAGUAUGAAAAUAAAAUACGCUGAGCAUCCCCUAUCGGAAAUUACCCAAGACUUCCGAUAUGUGUCAGAACUUUUGACCCCAUGUCAGAUUUUCCAACACACGGAGAAACUAUGAGAAACAACAAGUGUAAGUGCAAGAAUGUGGUGUCUCUCAUGGGUAGUUGGCAUCACAAAUGAGCACUUUGACAUCUUCAAGCUAAUUAGCCGCGUCCCCCUUUAUAGUAGAGUGUUCCUAUACUCAAAUUCAAAAAUAGAAAAUUAUAACAAGAUAUUCUUUUAUGCUCCAGCACCGUUAUCAAAUCAAUUUGGGGUCCUACAUUGCACCUUUGUGCUUCUAUUGCCUUUGUGCCUAUCAAAUUCUCAAUAAACUCAUUCGUCCCUUAGUUAUGUAUGUCAUCAACAUCAAAACCCACUUAGGGGGUCAUAUGCACUUUUAAUUUGAUAAAAUUAUGGAAACAUUUAGUGUGUCAAUGUGUCAUGUGAUGUAUAUUUUCUAUGUUUUACAAAAUGUCUUAAACUUUUUGUUAUAUAAAUAAUCAUUCCUUAGAUCCGAUGUAAACGCAUCAUCGUUGCCUUUGUGCGGAUGCCAAAGGGGUUUUAGGGACUCUGGGUUUCAGCUUUCAGAAAGAAUUUUAGCAAGCAGACAAGACUGGCGUAGGAGUGGGGACACCGCACAUGGCCAUGGGUAGUGGAGGAUGUACGGUUGGCAACACGGGAGCAUUCUUGAAACCAAGAUGUGUAGCAAGUAGAGGGUGGUGAGGACAUUGUUGGGAUGAGGCGAGGUCGAUAAGAUGAGGUUGCUAAUACGACAAGGUCGUUGUAUCGAGCUAAAUCAAAGAAAGAAGACUGAGGUUAAUCAUCAAUUGAGUAAAGCAUCAAUUUCAUGGUUCAUCCAAUUGACAAAUAGCGUUACCCAGGCUAUUAGUCUUCAAUAAGGCUGAACGGUACCAACUCAGCUAGGUACUCCCUCCAUCCCAAAUUACUAUUCAUUUUGGUUUUUCUAGGUACAUAGUCUUUGAUAUGCA
rnacentral:lncRNA from 1 species